GAGACAUGUCAUCAAUUCAAAUGCCGUGGAACUGCCACGUGUCCAUAAAAUAAUUGCACGGUUCUGUUAAUGUUUCAAGUGGGUUUAGAUGAGUGAUGGGCUUAGACGAAUGUGUUUAAUGUGGGUUUGAGUAUAGUUAUUUAGGCUGAACACGAACACAAACUUGGCCCGUAUAUGGCCUUAACUCUCUAAACCUAUAACCACCGUUCAUCUUUAGGGUUCAUCGUCUCCUACCUAAUCUGAUUAGGUCUACCAUCCAUGGAAGUUACGAGAGUAUCAGAGAGACGUGCUCUGUCUGUGAUUGUCGCGUCUAUGUCGGUUCAUGUGCUUCGUAUAGAUUCAUCUCUUCGGUUGCUUCAAUAUCGAUUCAUCUCCUCACAUGCUUUACAACCUGCAUUGAUUUAACGCCAUUAAUGUUCACUUAUUCAAUGAUUCUUAUCAUCUUCCAAGCGGUGUAUCUACACCUAUAAAAAGGGAUUGAACUUUCCUUAUGCUUCACUCCAAGCCGUUUGAUCAAGGAAUUCUUAAUGUGUUUGGAUGACGACGUCGGAGGAAAAGUCCGUCGAAUGAAUCUUCUCAGUGUGGAAGUUCUCGCUGGAGAGGGAGAAUCACCGGAAGGAAGAGGACUCGAUUAGCUAUGUCUCCAGCGAGAACCACCAGAAGGAAGAGGACUCUUAGCUAUGUCUCAAUUGUUAAUCGGUUGGGACCCCUUUCUGGGUUGCUUUGUUUCCAGCCCUCUAAGACUUAUCCGUCGAUGACUGCUCGAGAAAUUCUUCAUAUUCCUUAACCGGGUCUAACCCAUACCCAUAAGUUGUCGAAUUGGUUUGGAGUCAGUUUCGGUCAGAUCAUACUGAAGUUAACUGGUUAUGGAAGAGAUGGAGCAAGCUAACGAAAUUGAGUCUGAAAUCAUGUUGAACCAUUGGAAAGUAGACUUCUUAUGUUUGUGUCUGUAGAACUUUGAAGAGAUUGAGCUUAGGACAUGUAGAAAUAUUAUUGUUGAUAAAGAAAAGAAGUAUUGUUGAUGUGGUUCUGCUAUUUGUGAAUCUCUCAAGUCUCUGUUGAUAUAUCAUGGUGGUAACAAAUACAGUUUAUUCCCUGAAA